rnacentral:rRNA from 1 species
UUGACCUCAAAUCAGGUAGGACUACCCGCUGAACUUAAGCAUAUCAAUAAGCGGAGGAAAAGAAACUAACAAGGAUUCCCCUAGUAACUGCGAGUGAAGCGGGAUAAGCUCAAAUUUGAAAUCUGGCAGUCUUUUUUUUCUUCUUUGGCUGUCCGAGUUGUAAUCUAGAGAAGUGCUACCUGCACUGGACCGU